rnacentral:rRNA from 1 species
CAGUAGCCACGGUAAUACGAAGGGGGCUAGCGUUGCUCGGAAUGACUGGGCGUAAAGGGCGCGUAGGCGGUUCAGCAAGUCUCGUGUGAAAUCUUCGGGCUCAACCCGAAGUCUGCACGGGAAACUACUGGGCUUGAGUAAUGGAGAGGUGAGUGGAAUUUCCGGUGUAGCGGUGAAAUGCGUAGAUAUCGGAAGGAACACCUGUGGCGAAAGCGGCUCACUGGACAUUUACUGACGCUGAUGCACGAAAGCUAGGGGAGCAAACAGGAUUAGAUACCCGCGUAGUCCCUGUCUCUUAUAC